rnacentral:rRNA from 1 species
GACGAACGCUGGCGGCGUGCUUAACACAUGCAAGUCGAACGGAAAGGCCCUGCUUUUGUGGGGUGCUCGAGUGGCGAACGGGUGAGUAACACGUGAGUAACCUGCCCUUGACUUUGGGAUAACUUCAGGAAACUGGGGCUAAUACUGGAUAGGAGCUCCUGCUGCAUGGUGGGGGUUGGAAAGUUUCGGCGGUUGGGGAUGGACUCGCGGCUUAUCAGCUUGUUGGUGGGGUAGUGGCUUACCAAGGCUUUGACGGGUAGCCGGCCUGAGAGGGUGACCGGCCACAUUGGGACUGAGAUACGGCCCAGACUCCUACGGGAGGCAGCAGUGGGGAGUAUUGCACAAUGGGCGGAAGCCUGAUGCAGCAACGCCGCGUGCGGGAUGACGGCCUUCGGGUUGUAAACCGCUUUCGCCUGUGACGAAGCGUGAGUGACGGUAAUGGGUAAAGAAGCACCGGCUAACUACGUG